UGGGGAAUAUUGGGCAAUGGGCGCAAGCCUGACCCAGCAACGCCGCGUGAAGGAAGAAGGCUUUCGGGUUGUAAACUUCUUUUACCAGGGAAGAAAAAAAUGACGGUACCUGGAGAAUAAGCUCCGGCUAACUACGUGCCAGCAGCCGCGGUAAUACGUAGGGAGCAAGCGUUGUCCGGAUUUACUGGGUGUAAAGGGCGCGUAGGCGGGACUGUAAGUCUGAUGUGAAAUACCGGGGCUCAACUCCGGGGCUGCAUUGGAAACUAUAGUUCUUGAGUGAUGGAGAGGCAGGCGGAAUUCCGAGUGUAGCGGUGAAAUGCGUAGAUAUUCGGAGGAACACCAGUGGCGAAGGCGGCCUGCUGGACAUUAACUGACGCUGAGGCGCGAAAGCGUGGGGAGCAAACA
rnacentral:rRNA from 1 species